GACGUAGGGCGCGAGCGUUGUCCGGAUUUAUUGGGCCUAAAGCAUCCGUAGCCGGUUCUGCAAGUCUUCCGUUAAAUCCACCUGCUUAACAGAUGGGCCGCGGAAGAUACUAUAGAGCUAGGAGGCGGGAGAGGCAAGCGGUACUCGAUGGGUAGGGGUAAAAUCCGUUGAUCCAUUGAAGACCACCAGUGGCGAAGGCGGCUUGCCAGAACGCGCUCGACGGUGAGGGAUGAAAGCUGGGGGAGCAAACCGG
rnacentral:rRNA from 1 species